AUGACGAGGCACUACGGUGCUGAAGCAACAAAUGCCCUGCUUCCAGGAAAAGCCUCUAAGCAUCAGGUAACAUCAAAUCGUACCCCAAACCGACACAGGUGGUCAGGUAGAGAAUACCAAGGCGCUUGAGAGAACUCGGGUGAAGGAACUAGGCAAAAUGGUGCCGUAACUUCGGGAGAAGGCACGCUGAUAUGUAGGUGAGGUCCCUCGCGGAUGGAGCUGAAAUCAGUCGAAGAUACCAGCUGGCUGCAACUGUUUAUUAAAAACACAGCACUGUGCAAACACGAAAGUGGACGUAUACGGUGUGACGCCUGCCCGGUGCCGGAAGGUUAAUUGAUGGGGUUAGCGCAUGCGAAGCUCUUGAUCGAAGCCCCGGUAAACGGCGGCCGUAACUAUAACGGUCCUAAGGUAGCGAAAUUCCUUGUCGGGUAAGUUCCGACCUGCACGAAUGGCGUAAUGAUGGCCAGGCUGUCUCCACCCGAGACUCAGUGAAAUUGAACUCGCUGUGAAGAUGCAGUGUACCCGCGGCAAGACGGAAAGACCCCGUGAACCUUUACUAUAGCUUGACACUGAACAUUGAGCCUUGAUGUGUAGGAUAGGUGGGAGGCUUUGAAGUGUGGACGCCAGUCUGCAUGGAGCCGACCUUGAAAUACCACCCUUUAAUGUUUGAUGUUCUAACGUUGACCCGUAAUCCGGGUUGCGGACAGUGUCUGGUGGGUAGUUUGACUGGGGCGGUCUCCUCCUAAAGAGUAACGGAGGAGCACGAAGGUUGGCUAAUCCUGGUCGGACAUCAAGAGGUUAGUGCAAUGGCAUAAGCCAGCUUGACUGCGAGCGUGACGGCGCGAGCAGGUGCGAAAGCAGGUCAUAGUGAUCCGGUGGUUCUGAAUGGAAGGGCCAUCGCUCAACGGAUAAAAGGUACUCCGGGGAUAACAGGCUGAUACCGCCCAAGAGUUCAUAUCGACGGCGGUGUUUGGCACCUCGAUGUCGGCUCAUCACAUCCUGGGGCUGAAGUAGGUCCCAAGGGUAUGGCUGUUCGCCAUUUAAAGUGGUACGCGAGCUGGGUUUAGAACGUCGUGAGACAGUUCGGUCCCUAUCUGCCGUGGGCGCUGGAGAACUGAGGGGGGCUGCUCCUAGUACGAGAGGACCGGAGUGGACGCAUCACUGGUGUUCGGGUUGUCAUGCCAAUGGCACUGCCCGGUAGCUAAAUGCGGAAGAGAUAAGUGCUGAAAGCAUCUAAGCACGAAACUUGCCCCGAGAUGAGUUCUCCCUGACUCCUUGAGAGUCCUGAAGGAACGUUGAAGACGACGACGUUGAUAGGCCGGGUGUGUAAGCGCAGCGAUGCGUUGAGCUAACCGGUACUAAUGAACCGUGAGGCUUAACCG
rnacentral:rRNA from 1 species